rnacentral:rRNA from 1 species
CCUACGGGUGGCAGCAGUGGGGAAUAUUGCACAAUGGGGGAAACCCUGAUGCAGCGACGCCGCGUGAGUGAAGAAGUAUUUCGGUAUGUAAAGCUCUAUCAGCAGGGAAGAAAAUGACGGUACCUGACUAAUAAGCCCCGGCUAACUACGUGCCAGCAGCCGCGGUAAUACGUAGGGGGCAAGCGUUAUCCGGAUUUACUGGGGGUAAAGGGAGCGUAGACGGCAGAGCAAGUCCGAAGUGAAAGCCCGCGGCCCAACUGCAGGACUGCAUUGGAAACUGUCCGGCUAGAGUGCUGGAGAGGUAAGCGGAAUUCCUGGUGUAGGGGUGAAAUGCGGAGAUAUUAGGAGGAACAC